rnacentral:other from 1 species
AGUAAGCCGUUCCCGUGUUCGCGAUGGACCGAUGAUUAUUUAUAGGGAGCUUCAGAUUGCGCUCGGAAUGGAGAUUCGUAUCCGUUGAUACGAAAGCCAGGAAGCGCGCUGCGAGCACCCACCUAGAGUAGGUGGGUUCAUCCUAUAGCGGGGACGGUUUCUUU